GAUGAACGCUAGCGGCAGGCUUAAUACAUGCAAGUCGUGGGGCAGCAUGAGUAGCAAUACUUGAUGGCGACCGGCAAACGGGUGAGGAACACGUACACAACCUUCCUUCAAGCGGGGAAUAGCCCAGAGAAAUUUGGAUUAAUACCCCAUAAUAUAUUUGAUAAGGCAUCUUAUUAAUAUUAAAGCUUCGGCACUUGAUGAUGGGUGUGCGGCUGAUUAGAUAGUUGGCGGGUAACGGCCCACCAAGUCUACGAUCAGUAGCUGAUGUGAGAGCAUGAUCAGCCACACGGGCACUGAGACACGGGCCCGACUCCUACGGGAGGCAGCAGUAAGGAAUAUUGGACAAUGGACGAAAGUCUGAUCCAGCCAUGCCGCGUGAAAGGAUUAAAGGUCCUCUGGAUUGUAAACUUCUUUAUAUGGGACGAAAAAAGGGCAUUCUUGUUCACUUGACGGUACCAUAUGAAUAAGCACCGGCUAAACUCCGUGCCAGCAG
rnacentral:rRNA from 1 species